rnacentral:ncRNA from 2 species
UAUAUAUCAAUUUAUCUAGAUAUUGUGAUGAGAAACGGAAAACGGUGAAAAUCCGUUGCGGACGCGCCACUGUAAUCGGCACAAACCCGCGCCGUGCCACUGUUCACUGACCAGACCGUCAACAUGUUGGGAAUGCCGCAACAUCGAUCUGCUCCGGGGACGGGAAGGUACGGCCACGCGCAACCACAAACGCGCAGGGGCCGGAAGCCAGGAGACGCCUCAUCACCUGCCGCCAUC